UGUCCUAUAAUUGUAUUUUUAUUCCCAGCCCCCGUCUCCGUAGGUGGCCUUUUGGUAGGCCGCCAUUGUAAAAAAUAAUUUGUUGUUAACUGACUUGCCUUGUUAAAAAAAAAAAAUAUUGUUUGAUAAGAUUUCAGUUCAGCUUGGAUGCAUAGCCUAUUUUAUGUGGUUUAAAUACUGAUUUUAUGAUGCUGAUAGCACCUCUACAGACUGUAUCUAACUGUGCAUUCCCAUUCUCUCAAGAUGCUGAAAGAAAGACAUCUUUCUCCACUCCUCUUCCCGAGUCAACAUUUAGCCUACAUUUGGAUAAAUUUACUGCAAAAAAUGCUUAAUUCUGCAGGAGUUAAUAUUAAGGCUGUGUGAGGUUAUAGACCUACAGUCAGUGUCCAGAUUUCAGUCUUAUUGAACCCAUCUGAACUGAACUGUAGUUCCCUUCAUGUGCCAUAAGCCUAUUUGAAGUCCAGUUUUGUGACUGUCAACUUUGUAUAGUGCCUCAUAUCACACAACAUUGCGGCACUGCUAUCAUCCUCUUUUACCACUUCACCAAAUCUUUCCCAAAUAUUACUUUUCUGGCCGUCCCUUGUCUUUAUUUUCAAGUCAACAUAUCGCAGCUUUUCUCUUAUUGAAAUAAACCAAGACAUUGUCCUUCUUGCCUCAGUGGAUGUACAUGUACUUUUUCUGCCUGUUCUCAAAAGUGUUUGGUGAUUGACUGUAGGCUAUUUGGCACGCAUAAAGUUAGGCCCUAAAGUUUAGGCUUACCCACUAAUGCCAGAGAGACUAAAAUAAUGAAAGGAAAAAAUGUAGCCUAUAGAUAUAAAUUGCACAAUAAUUAUAUUUUUAUGGAUUUUUAAAGGUAUUCUCUUUAUUCAACCCGCCUGCCAUCCAUCCGCCCUUCAUCCACACAAUAGGUCAUGACCUUAAACCCACGCGCCCGGCGGAUAUAACCGCGGGGACUACGGGUUAUGAGUCAAACCACCCAUCACUAGUGCAGACAUACUGUAUAUACAGUCAUUGGUGCAGACUGCAGCGCAAACUUUCAAAGCGCGAGGCCGAGGCCAAGUGAGAGAGAGAAUUUGAAACACUCAGGGAAAGAAAAACUUAUAUCUAUUAGGAGAACAUAAUGUGAGAGGCUAUUUGCAUAUCCCUUACCAAAUGUUAUUCAAAUUCUUAUACAGUUUCUUCCUUAAAUCAGAAUUAAACUAAUUAUAUUCCAUUUAAUCUAAAUGUACCCAGUACAAAUGCAUAUUACCAGUAAACUUACCAAGAACUAUAGGAUAGGCCUAUAAAAUAAAUGGAAGGACAGCCAGGGCCUUAAAGUUCAAUAACAACAUGAAAAAGAUAACAAAAAAAUAUUGUUUAUCUGAAUAACUAACUUUUCAUGAUCCAUCUUUGAAAAGCUUCAAUUCAGUGGAGGAAGGGGACCUGCAAUUUGACAGCCGAAGACAGAUCUCAAAGACUCCCCCCACCCAAAUCCACUUUUGUUUAUUCAAGUGAACAGUCAAGAUGGGAAAGCCUUGAUAAACAGCAUACCUGACCGUAUCCCUCAGUCUAGGAGUUUGCAGGUAGUGAGUCAGUCGAAGACAGAAGAAACUCCCUCUUGGUCAGGAUAUGCAGUUGCCGUCGCUCACAGUGAAAGACCAAAUAAUGAGAUGCAUGGGAAGAUACAGGGAGUCUGAAGAGCCACUCCUAAGGUAUGAACGUUAUAUUUAGCCUGUUUGGAAUAUGGAAAUAAAAACCAGUUCAAUAAAUGUUCUACUAUUGCAGUUUUCCAGUGAUAUGGAGACCAUGGAUUCCCUGUCAUAGAGAAACUGGAUGUCUAGAAAAAUUUGCCCAAGGGAAUGUGUCAUCAAGAACCAGACAGAUAUCCAAAGGUGCCCAUGGAUUCCAGCACCCUGUCAGGCUCUUCAUGCCCAAGUCCAGGACUGAGGAAUAUGUGUCUCAUUUGGGGAAGAUGGUCUUGGACAGUUUCCCUGUCCAAGCCACUCUCCACUUCUACAACGAUGACUCCAGCUCUGAGGAUGAUGAAGAUAUGGAGGAAGAGCUGGAGGUUCAUUCACACAGUUUGGAUCACAGGUCCCAUCCACUCAGAGAGAAUUCAGAGAGGUAGCUAGUCUUUACUGUUUUGGAAACAAGCAGGUGUGAUUAGACAAGGGAGACAGACAGUGCAGCAGGUCACAGGAGACAUGUUACUUCCAUGGUGAGGGUCUAGUAGGACCCAAUGUGUUCACCUGAGACAGCCACAGAAAGCCGGGAAGGGCCAGGUCACUGGCUGCAUGUGGCCUCACUGAGGUGAUUCUUUUUACACCAGUUCAACGUCAACACACCUUUAAACUGGAUAUGGCCAUUUUCCUUGACAACGUCCUAUGUUCUCAGGACCUUGUCAUGCAAACUCAAGUUGGCCUUGUGCUGGUCUCUUCUUUUUGUUUGUAGUGAAACAUUUUCUAUGCUUUCUAUGUUUUGUAUUUAUAAUAAUUUUUUAUGUGUGUAUGACAAAGUGUGUGUAAUACAUUGCUGGACAUAUGAGUGACUGUGUAGAUGGUUUGUUGGUUGAAAUGUAAAUAAUGUAUGUGCAUAUAAUUGAAUAUUACUGUUAUGGGCUUAGCU